GCGAGUAUGGCCCUCACGGGUCUAAUCCACCAUAAACACCUUUGUGAACCAGUCAGGGGGACUCGGCCGUGAAAGCCCAGGCGAUUAGCGGAAGGGCCCUCCUUUGCAAACCCGUUUAGAGGUCUUGAAAGUACUUUUGUAUAAUCUAGUA
rnacentral:misc_RNA from 1 species